GUCGAGAUUCGUGAAUUCAAUGUGAAUUUCAUAUAUGAGGCCUAAAUAGCCAAGUGGAAGGAUUGCUGACAUUGAAUUUUUUUUAGCUUGGCCUUUAAUGUGAAAUUCUUUUAGAAUUUUCAACAAUUCUCCCUUUAGUGAAUGUUAAGACACUCCCGGCAUAAAUGAGUGAAACCCUCGUUUAGUAGAUCAUCACCCUUUAGAGACACAGGUACUGUUGCUGUAGACCGCCAAACUCCCGAAUGGAAUAUAAGGGAAUGCUCCAAACUCCCGAACAGAGAAUCAUACGAACUCCUCCUCUCCUGGAACCGGCGAAAGAAUAUUCCAAAGUAGCAAUCCCCCCCAAACACGAGACCAAGCUCCGUCUUGAGGGUAAAACAGGAAUCUGCUUUAAUGAGGGCUACCUGACCGGUAUUUAUGCAGGUCUCCCACCUGGUGGACACUCCCCUAGGGGACCAGAUGGAAGACUGGGACAAGUAUGAUACAUUAGCCGCUCAGACAUAAACCAUCCCCUUUGUACAAGCAACCCCUCCUCGCUAUCCUGAAGAUAAUUGAGAAGAAAUCCAAUUAUCUCCAUGGAUAGAGGCAAAACGCCAUAUUAAAUAAUACAGUAAAAAUACAUAAAAUUCCAUAACUUCAAAACUACCGAAUGCAUUCCACACAUAUAACGUAUCCCCAGAUAGCCUAGAUCUGAGCGCACAUUAUUACCAAAUGGCGCUCAGAUCCAAUACACACAGUUCAAUCGCCAUGGAGCCAAAGUCUUUCACAGUGUUCUUACGGUAUAUGAAGGGCUCCAUGGGAUGGCUAUCUGGGUUAAGUCUAUUCGUG